rnacentral:rRNA from 1 species
UAAGUCUGGUGCCAGCAGCCGCGGUAAUUCCAGCUCCAAUAGCGUAUAUUAAAGUUGUUGCAGUUAAAAAGCUCGUAGUUGAACUUUGGGCUUGGUCAGCCGGUCCGCUUUUUUGCGUGUACUGGUCCUGACCGAGCCUUUCCUUCUGGCUAACCUGUCUCUCGGGGCAGGCGAACCAGGACUUUUACUUUGAAAAAAUUAGAGUGUUCAAAGCAGGCCUUUGCUAGAAUAUAUUAGCAUGGAAUAAUAGAAUAGGACGUUUGGUUCGAUUUUGUUGGUUUCUAGGACCAUCGUAAUGAUUAAUAGGGACGGUCGGGGGCAUCAGUAUUCAAUUGUCAGAGGUGAAAUCCUUGGAUUUAUUGAAGACUAACUACUGCGAAAGCAUUUGCCAAA